CUGAGGACCCUACUUUAUUUAUAUAAUGUAAGCACAGGGUGGACACUCGAUAAAUGAACUCACUUGUUCAGGUUGCUUCUCAGAGCCAGCAGUAGAAGUCUCAGGCAACCCAUGCUACUAAGCUUACACUGGGCUGAGGUCCUCCGUUGGUCACGUGCUUCUUUGCUGCGAGGACAUUGGUCUCUUCAUCAGUGGAUUUCUGACUCCUGGCCUGUAUCUUGCAUCAUUUUUCUUUUAAUUUAAAAUUGAGAUAAAAUACAUUGACAACAAGACUCGCAUUUAACAGUGCCUGUAAUUUUUGAAAAAGAUGUCUCAGACUGUAUAUAUGGCAUGAGGAAAAGAAAAUAGGAGAAAACAUGAAAUCAAUAAUGAUCAGAAAAUAAAUGUGAGAUUUAAAAAAAAAUCAAAGGUAUGUAAUUUUAGAAGCACCAAGAAUAAGAUCUAUGAUUUAGAAGAAAAUCAUAAAACAAAAUUGUAAAAUGAAAAAGUACAGAACUAUUAGAGAAGAGAAAAGAUAAAAAAGCAAUAAGACAAGUUUUUGAAAUAUUAACAUUGGACAAAACUUCCUGAAGUUAAGUGAAAAAGUCUACUUGAAAGUUAAGAAAAUUAUAUUGAAAAAGACUGAUCCAAGAAUACAG
rnacentral:lncRNA from 1 species